GGCACCUCGAUGUCGGCUCAUCGCAUCCUGGGGCUGAAGAAGGUCCCAAGGGUUUGGCUGUUCGCCAAUUAAAGCGGUACGUGAGCUGGGUUUAGACCGUCGUGAGACAGGUCGGUCCCUAUCUGGCGUGGGUGUAGGAUGAUUGAGGAGGUAUUCCCCUAGUACGAGAGGAUUGGGGAGUACGGCCCUCUGGUGUACCAGUUAUCACGCUAGUGGUAUGGCUGGGUAGCUACGGUCGGAACGGAUAAGCGCUGAAGGCAUCUAAGUGCGAAGCCCUCUCCAAGACGAAUCAUCCCUAUCAGUCCCCUGGGAGACUACCAGGUUGAUAGGCCGGCGGUGUAAGCGCAGCAAUGCGUUCAGCCAACCGGUACUAAUCGGACGAUCGACUUAACUACC
rnacentral:rRNA from 1 species